rnacentral:rRNA from 1 species
UAGGGAAUUUUCGUCAAUGGGCGCAAGCCUGAACGAGCAAUGCCGCGUGAACGAGGAAGGUCUUCGGAUCGUAAAGUUCUGUUGAAGGGGAAAAAGAGCGGAGAGAGGAAAUGGUCUCCGAUUGAUAUUACCCUUCGAGGAAGUCACGGCUAACUACGUGCCAGCAGCCGCGGUAAUACGUAGGUGGCGAGCGUUAUCCGGAAUGAUUGGGCGUAAAGGGUGCGUAGGCGGCCUGCUAAGUCUGGAGUGAAAGGUACCGGCUCAACCGGUACAGGCUCUGGAAACUGGCGGGCUAGAGAGCAGGAGAGGGCGGUGGAACUCCAUGUGUAGCGGUAAAAUGCGUAGAUAUAUGGAAGAACACCNGUGGCGAAGGCGGCCGCCUGGCCUGUUAACUGACGCUGAGGCACGAAAGCGUGGGGAGCAAAU